GAACGUAUUCCGUCCCCCGUACCUUUUCUCUUUUAUCGGUUAAUCGUUCUUAGUGCCAGUGUAUAAUGUACUUGGCGAAGGGGUUUUGCUAUACGGUUUUACCUCACGGUCCUUCAUCUGAUUUCGUGCAGCUCGGAGGAUUAGCAAAACCAGGCUGCAUUGUCCAUUCUAUUUGAUCUUGAGAGAGAGAUAGAAAGCCAUCUUCUGGAACCGCUGCAGCCUGUGUGAACGUGCUCCAUUUUGCAACUGUACAGAACCAAAAUCAGCUGAAGCACCAAUUGACAGGAGAGAACAAGGAAUGAGUGAAAGUAUUAAGUCAAUUUAGCACCAGAAUUUCUCAGCUCUAGAUUUGUUCUUGAGAUUUGGAAUGGAUGUUUGAUGGUUUCAUUGGCCCGUCCUGGACUUGGAGUUCUAUCAUGCAGGCAUCACGGGAAUAAUUCUGCUGCUGUGCAAAAUUUAGAACAAAGCAAACUUUUAUAGGCCCAUUCCACAAACAGCAUCACCAUUUUGCUGCCUAGCUUUAUUGUGAUAACACUGGGCAGCAAAUUUUUUUGAAAGUUUUGCUUCCUCACCUUUUUUUGUUUAUGAUAAAUUGCUUAAAGCUGAACACAAUAUAAUUUCAGACUUCUUGUAUCAUUUAGGAAUUUGGAGAAACAAAAAUGAACUUUUAUUGAAUAUAAUGCAUCUAAUUACAUAACGGUGCGGACACUUUGCAAUAAUUUAACUAAGCUAAAAAUGUUUUGAUGAUUUUCAGUUGUACUCGGUGUCUGAGGUUUCUUGCUUAAGUGUCCAACAAUAUUCAGCCAGCAUUGUUGUGGUGAAACCUUUCACCAAACUCAUCACUGACAGCACCAGGAUUUGCAGAGAAGAAGUCUAAAUGGAAAGCAGAAAAUGAAUCUUUAGUGAUCUGCUGAACUUCAUGGUUUUGUAUGCUUGAAGCAUGUUGUCAACCAGCUGCACAUAGUUUGGUGCUCUGAAGUUGCCAAGAAAAUUUUCAACAAUAACAUUGAUGGCCUUCCGUGCGAUUUUCUCCAGCCCCACUAGAAGUUCUUCGAAUUGCCUGUCAUUGAUGUCCUGUUUGAUUUGUGAACCAACAAAAAUGUCGCCUUUAAUCUUGAUAUCAGUUAUUCUGAGAAAUGUCUAAAUCAAAUAUUGAAUUCCUUCAUGGAAAUUUACAGGUUUUAAAAACCUGCCACCUGGACAAAAUGGAAAAUCUUUCAGCUUGCAUUGGGCAACAUUUUACUAUUGUACUUCUUCAUAAUUACCGUUCUUGACAAGAAAUCCUGCUCGCACAGCCUGCUCGUUCCAAGCAUGGGAUGCAUAUCAUUCUGAUGAUACAUUUGAUAAAUGAGAGAGGUUUUAAAACCAAGCUGUUUAGUUAGUGUAGAGACAGCCCAAAAUGAAUUGUAUUGCCAAUGAACUCAAGCAGAAUUUCAACCUAAACUAUCCUCAUAUUUUGUAACAAAUUUGUAGUAACUUUUAUACACUGCGCAGAAGGUAAGUUUUUGGAGUUAGUAGCCUUUUGGUUGAAUACGCAGGAAGAAAUACAGCUUUACUUGCUGACCCUGUGGAUUAAGGGCUGCUAUGGUAGCAUUUUCUUCUGGUUUGCUGAUCCUGUCUCUCAACCCCUCCUCCGUCUCACGAAGGUGAGGUGAGGAUGUGUGGGGUGAAGGGUGCUGGUAAAGUAACAAGUAGACAUUGUAUAAUCAACUGGGAACACAUUUGAAGAAGGUGAGCCAGGCAGAAACUACAUCUAUAGCCUAGUUCCAUUUAUAAGGACUUCUGAGAGUAGGUUAUUCUCAACAAUGGAUUGAAAAUCUGACACCUUGAAAGUGCUUGCCCAGUUAUAUAUUUAAUAUGCAUUUGUCUCUGGAUUCACAAUAGAGGAAUUGGUUUGAGAAAUGGAUAACAAGUUCUUUAAAAGUUGUUGAUGCUCCAGAGUGUAGGAAGCUGAAUCUGGAGGAGACCAUUUGUGUCUGCUCAUUAAAUAACACAGCUGAUCUUUUACCUCAGUGCUACCAUCCUGCUUAAAAUCUAUACACUUUGCUUCCCUUGCUAUCUAAAAGUAUAUUUAUCUAUAUUAUAAACAUAGUCACAGACUAAGCCUCCAUGGUACUCUUAUUGACAGAGUUACGAAGAUUUACUAACCUCUGAGUGAAGAAAUUACUUCUCAUCUCGUUUCUGAAUGGCUGAUUUUUUUUGUAUGUGUGAGUUUGUGCCUCCUGGUUCCAGGUAACCCUGUCAAGUGAUAUAUCAUCCCUACAUCUAACCUCUCAAGUCCUGUAAGAUUUCUGUACAAUUCAAUGAGAUCACCUUUCAUUUUUCUAAACUCGGGAAUAUUUUGGACCAGUUUGCUUAAUCUCCCUUUAUUCAAGAAACUUGUCAUCCCAGGACUCAAUAUGGUGAAUCUUUGCUGUGCUCCCUCUAUUGUCAGAAGUACAUGAAACCAGAGCUGAAGCGAGGCGUUAAAGAUCUCAGUGAACACUCAGUGCCCAUUGGAAGAAUGGGCAGGGGUUUGUGAGGCAACACCACUAGCUCUAGCUCCAAAGUAUAUUGUACAAGAGUGCCAGAACCCUUCUAUAGUCCACAUGUCUGCUGCUCCAUUUUGUUGAGCAUUCAGAGCAGGAGUGGUGGGAAGUUUGCCAACCCUGCCUUGCCCUGUCGGAGGGGAACACUUACAUAGAAACAUAGAAAAUAGGUGCAGGAGUAGGCCAUUCGGCCCUUCGAGCCUGCACCGCCAUUUAUUAUGAUCAUGGCUGAUCAUCCAACUCAGAACCCCGCCCCAGCCUUCCCUCCAUUGUCCCGGCUCCAUUGUGAAUGACUUUGCUUCUGGAAAUGCGGUUAACAGUAAUAUAAGUAACAACAUGAAAGUGAAUUUGUGUAGUUCCCUCAAUGUGAGGGAACAUCCUGAGCAUUGCUGCCCCCACCGUCCCUCCAGCCCCCACCCUUAACUCAGUACAAGAAGUGUGUAGCCUGUGGUCAUGUGGAUAGGUAACACAAGUUGGGGUCCCUGGAAACAUUCUUCCCCCCCCCCCGCCCCAUCCCCUGCUUUCUGUAGGGAGAAAAGUCUGUGUGACUCCCUACUCCACUCACCUCCCUCCUGGUACUUAUCCCUGUGACCAUGACAAGUGCUACACCAGCCCAUACACCUACUCCCCCAGGGUCCCAAAGUGUCCCUCCAGAUGAGGUGGCACUUCACCUGUGAGUCUCUCGGUGUAGCCUCCACUACAUUGGUGAGACCUGGCUUAGAUUGGAGGAUUACUUUGCCAAGCAUCUUCACUCUUUCUGCCGGAAAAAGCAGGAUCUCCUGACUUCCCAUUCCAACGUGUCUGUCCAUGGCCUUCUCUACUGCGACAAUGAGGUCAAGCUUGGAUUGGAAGAGAAACACCUCAUAUUCUGCAUGGGAAGCCUCCAACUUCAUAGCAUAAACAUCAAUUUCUCUAACUUCUGGUAAAUACUCCCCUCUGUUUGCAUCCCCAUCCCCCUUCUCUCUUUUUCUGUUCUUUAUUCUAAUUACCCUAUCUUCUCCUCUGCCCUCAUGACCGGCCCAUUACCUCCUUUUGGUUUUCCACUUCCUUCCCUUACUCCAUGGUCCACUGUCCUCCCCUAUUAGAUUCCUCCUUCUUCAUCUCUUUAUCCCUUCCACCUAUCACCUCCCAGCUUACUGCAUUAUUCCCCCCUCCUCCACCCUCCCCCCAACUGCCCCAGUCACCUAGUCUCACCUAUCACACUCCGGCUUUUGCUCCCUCCCCUCUCCCCAGCUUCUUAUUUUGUCUCCUCACCCUUCCUUUCCUGUCUUGACGAAGGGUCUUGGAUGAAACGUUGACUGUUUAUUCCCCUCCAUAGAUGGUGUCUGACCUGCUGAGAUCUUCCAGCAUUUUGUGUGUGUUUGUCGCUCAAAAUUUCCAGCAUGUACAGACUCUCGUGUGUCAAUGAUCAAGACAUUGGCUUAUCACAGCUGAUUGUGGCUGUACAUUCAGAGACAGGCCAUUGAUCCUGAGCUAAAGGUAUUCCCAAUCUAAUGCCAACUUCCAUGAGAACGCCACCUCAUCUUUAGUCCCUUUUAGCCAUGUACCUCUGAGUAUAACAUACUAAAAUGUUUGGUAAACAGGGGAGUAAAUCAUUCUGAACCCAGACAAAUAGGCCUUACAAGAAAACAAUUUUGAGAAAUAACAACACUUGCAUAAAGACUUUAGCAAUUCCUAUUUAUUUCUUCAAUUAUUCUUCAUUAUCCUGUUUUCCACUAGAUUUAAGAUAUGAAAUAGUGAUUCAACCAAAAAAUAUGGCCAUGAACUCCACUUAAAAUUAUAAAAUAUUUAUGGAUUUACUUGAGUGAUCUCAAACGUUUCAUCUUAGUUGAGAUGUCCUGGUGGCAGAAAUGAUAUCAACUGUAACAGCUAUCUAUUGGCCCUGAACUUGUUGGACAUUGGAAAAUGAAUAAGGGGAUAAAGUGUUGGGGUGUACUCUUGAGUUGGAGUAUAGAACAAAUAUUAAUUUCAACUGCAGCCAUUCUGCACAUUUGAAUGUGGAUUCCAGACUGAAUUUAAAACGCAGCUCAGAACAAUGGGCUUCCAGGAGUUGCAGGUUGGGGUCAAUUACAAACAAGGAAAUCCUCCACUUAGACCUCAGAUGCUUACAUAUACAUUAAUGCGGCCUAGAGUGGGAGGGAAUUAACAUUCACUUUGGGAGUCUGGAGUGUGGGUACGAAGAAGGAGGUGUUAGAAAAUUACAGUGUAUGUAAUUCGAAGGAAGCAUUGUAGAUGCAUUGUAACUGUAGAAUUGUUUUUUGAUCAUUAGCAUUUAAAAAUGUCAUGUAAUAUUGGUUAAAGAAGGUCUCUUCUUCCAAAAGUGCCACAAAUGCUGAAUAAAACACUUCUAUAUCCACCAGCUUCAGUUACUCUCUGGUGACUUUGCUCACAGUUACAACAGAAGGUUUAAUUGGUUGGACCAACAAAGAGCUCCCACAAUACACACAACGGACUGAUUCUCCUUUUGUGUUGUAAAAUUCAAUGAUUGAAUGAUGUGCAGUUAAAUCCCAGUUUGCUUGCUGGAAAACAGCAAGAUCAGUGGCAUAUUUCUAUAAAGUUGAAGUUUCUUCUAUAACUUGAGCUACAGUAUGUAACCAUCUGAUCAAUUCACUAAUGCAACAGUAUUGGUGAUCCACAUCUUUCAACAGGAAAGACUUUGCCAUUAUCCCAUCACGUGAGAAAGCACACUAGGAUGGUAAAAUCUUACAGGUGAAUGCAAGUGAUUUUUCAUUAUGCCAGAUCAGAUCCAAAAUUAUUGUCAUGUUAUUAAUUAAAAAUAAGUUGUCAAAAACAAAUAACUUCCAUAGCACAUGAAAUAAUAUCCACACACUUUUGUCAUUAUGCCUUCUAUAAUGUGUAGAAGUCAGGUUACAUAGCACCAUGUUUCGAUGUGAUCCACUUUAAAUAAAAAGUAAAACAUUAAUGGAAAUCAGUGACCUGCUGUAGCGAUUGUGAAGUUAGCAAAUAUUUUUCUUGGGCCUUUUGUGCAUUCUAACUCUGGAGGACCCUGUUCAUGUGGACUGGUUUCGAAUGACAGACUGCCUGUGUCUGGAUACCACCCCUGAGGUUUGCAGCAGUGUAGGAGUAGCCUGCAUGGUUCACUGGUUACUUCAACAGAUGCAACAUUUCAAUAGUUUUCAACAGCUCAAUUAAUAACAAUGAAAUGUAUACCAUAUACGACCUGAAAUUUUUGUUCUUCAUAGAUAUCCACGAAAAUAGAAGAGUACGCCAAAGAAUGAGUGACAGUAAAAAAUCAUUACUAUAGAACCCUGCAGCACCCCGCCCACUCACCUCUUCCACAAGCAGCAACAAAUGAAUGAUCCUCCCACCCACUUCAGUAAAAAAAAGCAUCAGCACCCUCCACACACCAAGCAAGCAAUAGCAAAGCCUCCAAGAAAGAUAAAGUAAUUGUUCCCCUGACAAUUUGACAUACCACAGUGCCCAAUAAAGGGACAGAGAGGUUUCAGCCUUUCACAGCGAGAGGGGAGACCUAAACAAAAAAUGACUCGCUGAUCUACGAUAUUAAAGUCUCCUGCAUCCCUCCCCCACCCCCGAGUUCUCCAACUCAAGGAUAGGCAACAAACUUUCCCCCACCAACGAGAAAGAGAGCAGUCGAUUUGCUGAGUACAGAGCACCCCCCCCCCACUACAGCCGAUCCACUGUUCCUGAUGUUCCGUUUUCUCCUGUAACGAUUCAGUCAGUGGCACUGGUAUAGAGUCCACGGGACCACGAAGCCUCAGCACCCCAAAGGCACACUCGUCUUCUAGACCACGUCUUUGGGAUAUCAAAAAACGGCCAGUUAUGGGCCCCUGGGAGUAGGUCCGAAGUCUGAGUGUAAGUCUAGGUCAGGGUCUCCGCCAGGACCCUAUCCACCUUGAAAAGGAAAAAGAGACAUUUGAAGGUAGAAAGCUGCUUCCACAGAUGAGCUUGAAGGAGUCACUGUUAUCAUAGAUAACAGAGCUAUCAUAGCUUCCCCCACCCACCUUGUAAUCAGUGUGACAUUUCAGUGUGUCUUGGGUUUUGCUAAUGUGCAACUUAAA